AAAAGGAGAUAUUGCCUUCGUACUUUCUCCUAACUCUAUUCACCUUUCGAUCCUUUAUUUCUAUAUCUUCUCUCUCGGUGUCGUUACCUCUCCUAAAAAAUCAAUUAUCUUUAAACUUGAGAUUCUCCACCAAAUUCAGCUGUUGAAACCUGUACUUGUGUUCGUCACGUCGAAUGCUGCUCAUAUAAUUCCUAAUCUCAAAACAAUCGUACUCGACUCUCCCGAGUUUGAAUCGCUGAUGAUGAGUGUAGCUCACGGUGGAGAAAUGGAAGGAGGGAAGGUUUACCAAUUGGACCCUGGGACAAUUCUCUAUCCUCACGGACUACUAGUCGAGUUAAUGGAUUGGUUUUGGCUCAUUGAAAUUUCAGAUGCAUGGUGGCCCUAAGUUAUGCGGUUUACACAAGCUGGAUGGCAGCUGCAACUUUAUUUUUUUUCGUUGCCUUAUUUUCAUGUUUAUAGUUUAUGUUAUUUCGUGAGAGGUUUAACUAUGGGAGUGGCGGUGGUGUCCAUAGGUAGAUUUGAUAUGAAGAUAGUGUUGAUAGUAAUUCAGGAGUGUAAGAUAGACUGCACCGGCGGUCGUGCUGAUAACUAAGGAUCCUAGGUUGUUAGACGGCUAAGAUUUUAGCUCUCUAGAUGUUGCAGGUUGCAGCGUUGCUUCGCUUAGGAAAAGCGUAGUUGAACUGUUCCGUGAACAAUUUCCAAAUUUGACUUUAAGUCAGGGUAGUUAAACACCAAACUUGGAUUUUUACCAUUAACCGGUGGUUAAUUUCUCAUAUUGGUUAUUCAAUGUGUAGCGUAUGAUCCACCAUUAAGUAACUAAAAAAUACAGAUGGAACGUCACGUUAGCUACCGGCAAAUGCUCCCCCGCUUUCAUUUCAAAUUUGAAUUCAAUUACUAAAUGUUUUUAAAUCCUAACUUAUUGUACCAAGUAAAAUCAUUUUAAUUAAAAUGCAAAAAUUCAUAAAGGUUUAAAUUUUUUAUGUCAUUAUCCAAAAAUAUAUUAAAUGUCAAGAAAUACAUGAUAAUAGUUACUUGACAAAAUGAGAGAAGCACCACGGUACUUCUCCAUUUCGGUUAGUUAAAUAACUUUAUAGGGGUGUUAGAGUUAGUGGUAUUAGAGCUAACGUUUAGGCUUUUCUAGGUGUUAAGGAGAAGAAACAAGCCUUAUAAAUUAAGGUCUGGAUAUAACUCUACUAUAGGCUUUUGUAAGUUGGCUAAGAAUGUUAUUUGACAUUCAACACGUGUUAGAAGAUAGAGGUGAUAAUCUAAAGUCGUGAUCGCGAUAAUCUAUCCAAUGCUACAAAUGUUUGUAUUGUAAGCUGCAGAUUACAUUAUGGACAUUGGAGCAUUGAGUGGAAAUUGUGUGCAUCACUUUUAAGAAUCUGCUAGGAUAUAAUAGAUGCCUUAUAUCUGAUGCAGUUGUACCAUGACAGGUUUCUAACUGCUAUGAAUUGACUUCAAAUAAAAGUUUAUAUCCUUUUAGAAUAAAAUACUAGAGAUAUUAGCAAUAAGGUAUAGAAAAAUUCUAUGAGAGCUACAAUGUACUCAAAAAACAUAAUUGUUUUUGUGUUGUUUAUCAUUAAAAAGAGGAAUUUUAUAAAUAUUAUGACAUAAGAGAAAUGAAAAAACGGAGAGGUAUGAGUAGGUGAAAUAGGCUAGAACAUGUUAGUGACCAAUUUUCUUGUUCACUUUUUACUGUGAUGAUUGUUUGAUAUCAAAACAUAGUCUUAUCCUUUGAGAGAAAUAAAUUUGAAUUAUCAUAAUAAUAUAUUCAAGAGUUUUAAAGAAAGUUUAAUUAUCUAAACAUUAUGUAAGAGGGGAUUGAAGAUACAAGGAGAAUACGCACAUAAAAUAAGUGAUAGUUAUGAGAUGGUAGGUGUGAUUAAGGGGUUAAUUUAUCUCAUUAAUGACAUAUUAGUUACUCUAGCUAGGAAAAAAAUAAGAAAGAUUGUAGAGUCUAUCCAACUUUUAAGAACAUGACAUAGCUACUGUAUGAUUUCGUAAUGUACUUUUUGAUAAAUAUUUCGAUUCAUCAUUUGGAAGUGGAUAGGGUUGCCUUUAAGAUUAUAUUGAAGGUCUAUGUUGGAAAACCGAAGUAAUCACUGCAAAAGUUUAUUCUGUUUCCCUUUUUAGAAGCAUUAUUACAUUUGAUAAGAUUAGAUAAAUUAUUUUGGCGGAAUUGAUAUUAUUUGAGAUAAUAUUGUUGUUUAUUGGAAGUUUACUUUUUAUCUAUAUUGGUGAUAUAGUUAGAUUUUAAACACUUUAAUCGGUAUAAGUAAUUAUUAUUGAUAGGUUAUAUUGAUACCUGUUUAUAUAUAAAUGUGUAUAUAUAUAUAUAUGUUUUGAAUAUUGGUAUUUAGUUUCUUAAAUGGAUUGUGCAAAGUUAGCUAUAAAACUAUAAUUAUUUAUGUUUCCUUAGUUAUUUCCUGGAUUCUCGAUAUAACCCUUAUUCCUCCAAUAGAUUAUUGAACAAAUGAAUAAGAUUAUUUUUGUAUAGCAUAGCGUGAUAUUGUGGUUGAUUAUUAGCAAGAAUAAAUUAUAUUAGUAUAAACUUUAUGUUAUUAUCUAUUGUUAAGAGCUACGUGGACCUGAUCCUCUAUUGGAGGUACGUAGGCAGCCUUCGGGUGCGGUCGAAAUAUAAUAUAUAUUAAGACUUUAAUUAGCAAAUAGUAGCGAUGUAAAUUCAAGCCAUAUUAACAGAUUUUCAUGUUGAAUAAAUUACUUAUUGGAAAUUUAAUGAGUUUAAUAUGACUAAAAUAAUUAACAUACAAAUAAUUAUAUUUAUAAGAUUAUAGAUAAAAAUAAGCCACAAAAGAAAUCACUGAAUUAGCUAAGAUAUAGGAGAACAAUUUUGAUAAAGAGACCAUGAGUGAAUUAGACCAUUAAUAUUGCCAAAACCUGACUAUAACAUAGGAUAGAAGUAUACAGAAGUACCUAAAAUGAAUAACUUGGAAAGCUUGUCAAAGGAAUGAAAAUUGACAUGCGAAUAGGUGCAAUUUGUGAUAAAAAACAGCAAUUGAAAGGCAGUGUCACAGUCUAGAUACAAAACGUAAGUUGGCAAUUGAAAGGCAGUGUCGUAGUUCAGUUAUAAGGCAUAGACGAAGUGUCGCACCUAUCCCAAAUCCUCAUUCACUAGCAGACUAAAUGAAAUUAUUUCUUGAAAAAAUAAAGAAUAAUGGCAUAAAAAUCGAAAAUUUUAUUUCUUGGCACAAUAAAUUAGGAUUUAAAAAUAUUUGGCAAUUCUUUCCAAAUUUAAAUUGAAAGUGGGGGAGCAUUUGUCGGUAGCAGGCCAUAUUGUAUUUUUAUAUUACUCGAUGCUGGACUCUACGCUACACCUUGGAUAACCAAGGCGAGGUAUUAAUCGUUGGUUAAUUAAGGUAAAAUUCUUAAAUGGUGUAGAAAAACCUAAAACGCUCUCAUCGACGCCGUCGCUCGCUGCCGAAUUUAUUUUCCCCACUUCAUCCUUCGCACAAAAAGUUGGCCUUCUCGCUUUGCCACCAUUUUGGCCUCAGAAAAGGAGAUAUUGCCUUCGUGCUUUCUCCUAACUCUAUUCACCUUUCGGUCCUUUAUUUCUAUAUCUUCUCUCUCGGUGUCGUUACCUCUCCUAAAAAAUUAAUUAUCUUUAAACUUGUGAUUCUCCACCAAAUUCAGCUGUCGAAACCUGUACUUGUGUUCGUCACGUCGAAUGCUGCUCAUACAAUUCCUAAUCUCAAAACAUUCGUACUCGACUCUCCCGAGUUUGAAUCGCUGAUGAUGAGUCUAGCUCACUGUGGAGAAAUAGGAGGGAAGGUUUACCAAUUGGACCCUGGGACAAUUCUCUAUCCUCACGGACUACUGGUCGAGUUAAUGGAGUGGUUUUGGCUCAUCGAAAUUUCAGAUGCAUGGUGGCCCUAAGUCAUGCGGUUUACACGAGGUAGAUGGCAACUGCAACUUUCUUUUUUUCGUUGCCUUAUGUUCAUGUUCAUGGUUUAUGUUAUUUCGUGAGAGCUUUAACUAUGGGAGUGGCGGUGGUGCCCUAAGACAAUGCUGACAGUAAUUCAGGAGUGUAAGAUAGACUGCACCGGCGGUGGUGCUGAUAACUAAGGAUCCUAGGUUGUUAGACGGCUAAGAUUUUAGCUCUCUAGAUGUUGCAGGUUGCAGCGUUGCUUCGCUUAGAAAAAGCGUAGUUGAACUAUUCCGUGAGCAAUUUUGAAAUUUGACUUUAAGUCAGGUUAGUUAAUCACCAAAGUUAGAUUUUUACUAUUAACCGAUGGUUAAUUUCUCAUAUUGGUUAUUCAAUGUGUAGCGUAUGAUCCACCAUUAAGUAAUAAAAAAAUGCAGAUGGAACUUCACGUUAGCUACUGGCAAAUGCUCCCCCACUUUCAUUUCAAAUUUGAAUUGAAUCGCUAAAUGUUUUUAAAUCCUAACUUAUUGUACCAAGUAAAAUCAUAUUAAUUAAAAUGCAACAAUUCAUAAAGGUUUAAAUUUUUUAUGCCAUUAUCCAAAAAUAUAUUAAAUGUCAUGAAAUACAUGAUAGUAGUUAAUUGACAAAAUGAGAGAAGCACCAUGGUGCUUCUCCAUUUCAGUUAGUUAAAUAACCUUAUAGGGGUGUUGGAGUUAGUGGUAUUAGAGCAAAUGUGUAUACCUUAUAGGUUCAGGUCUGGAUAUAACUCUACUAUAGGCUUUUGUAAGUUGGCUAAGAAUGUUUUUUGACAUUCAACAUGUGCUAGAAGAUAGAGGUGAUAAUCUAAAGUCGUGAUCGCGAUAAUCUAUUCAAUGCUACAAACGUUUGUAUUGUAAGCUGCAGAUUGCAUUAUGGAAAUUGUAGCUUUGAGUGGAAAUUGUGUGCAUCACUUUUAAGAAUCUGCUAGGAUAUAGUAGAUGCCUUGUAUCUGAUGCAGUUGUACCAUGACAAGUUUCUAACUGCUAUGAUAUGACUUCAAAUAAAAGUUUAUAUCCUUUUAGAAUAAAAUACUAGAGAUAUUAGCAAUACGGUAUAGAAAAAUUCUAUGAGAGCGACAAUGUACUCAAAAAACAUAAUUGUUUUUGUGUUGUUUAUCAUUAAAAAGAGGAAUUUUAUAAAUAUUAUGACAUAAGAGAAAUGAAAAAACCGAGAGGUAUGAGUAGGUGAAAUAGGCUAGAAUAUGUUAGUGACCAAUUUUCUUGUUCACUUUUUACUGUGAUGAUUGUUUGAUAUCGAAACAUAGUCUUAACCUUUGAGAGAAAUAAAUUUGAAUUAUCAUAAUAACAUAUUCAAGAGUUUUAAAGAAAGUUUAAUUAUCUAAACAUUAUGUAAGAGGGGAUUGAAGAUACAAGGAGAAUACGCACAUAAAAUAAGUGAUAGUUAUGAGAUGGUAGGUGUGAUUAAGGGGUUAAUUUAUCUCAUUAAUGACAUAUUAGUUACUCUAGCUAGGAAAAAAAUAAGGAAGAUUGUAGAGUCUAUCCAACUUUUAAGAACAUGACAUAAAUAGUGUAUGAAUUACUAAUGUACUUUUUGAUAAAUAUUUCGAUUCAUCACUUGGAAGUGGAUAGAGUUGCCUUUAAGAUUAUAUUGAAGGUCUAUGUUGGAAAACCGAAUUAAUCACUGCAAUAGUUUAUUCUUUUUUCCUUUUUGGAAGUAUUUUAAUAUUUGAUAAGAUUAGAUAAAUUAUUUUGGAGGAAGUGAUACUAUUUGAGAUAAUAUUGUUGUUUAUUGAAAGUUUAGUUUUUAUCUAUAUUGGUGAUAUAGUUAGAUUUUAAACACUUUAAUCGGUACAAGUAAUUAUUAUUGAUAGAUUAUAUUGAUAUCUGUCUAUAUAUAAAUAUGUGUAUAUAUAUAUAUAUAUAUAUAUAUAUAUAUGUUUUGAAUAUUGGUAUUUAGUUUCUUAAUUGGAUUGUGCAAAGUUAGCUAUGAAAAUAUAAUUAUUUAUGUUUCCUUAGUUAUUUCCUGGAUUCUAGAUAUAACCCUUAUUCCUCCAAUAGAUUAUUGAAUAAAUGAAUAAGAUUAUUUUUGUAUAGCAUAGUGUGAUAUUGUGGUUGAUUAUUAGCAAGAAUAAAUUAUGUUAGUAUAAACUUUAUGUUAUUAUCUAUUGUUAAUAGCUACGUGGACGUGAUCCUCUAUUGGAGGUACGUAGGCAGCCUUCGGGUGCGGUCGAAAUAUAAUAUAUGUUAAGACUUUAAUUAGCAAAUAGUAGCGAUGUAAAUUCAAGCCAUAUUAACAGAUUUUCAUGUUGAAUAAAUUACUUAUUGGAAAUUUAAUAAGUUUAAUAUGACUAAAAUAAUUAACAUACAAAUAAUUAUAUUUAUAAGAUUAUAGAAAAAAAUAAAGCCACAAAAGAAAUCACUGAAUUAGCUAAGAUAUAGGAGAACAAUUUUGAUAAAGAGACUAUGAGUGAAUUAGACCCUUAAUAUUGCCAAAACUUGACUAUAACUUAGGAUAGAAGCAUACAAAAGUACCUAAAAUGAAUAACUUGGAAAGCUUGUCAAAGGAACGAAAAUUGGCAUGCAAAUAGGUGCAAUUUGUGAUAUAAAACAACAAUUGAAAGGCAGUGUCACAGUCUAGAUACAAAACGUAAGUUGGCAUUUGAAAGGCAGUGUCGUAGUUCAGUUAUAAGGCAUAAAGGAAGUGUUGCACCUAUCCCAAAUCCUCAUUCACUAGCAGACUAAAUGAAAUUGUUUCUUGAAAAAAUAAAGAAUAGUGGCAUAAAAAUCCAAAAUUUUAUUUCUUGGCACAAUAAAUUAGGAUUUAAUAAUAUUUGGCGAUUCUUUACAAAUUUGAAUUGAAAGUGGGGGAGCAUCUGUCGGUAGCAGGCCAUAUUGUAUUUUUAUAUUACUUGAUGCUGGUCUCUACGCUACACCUUGGAUAACCAAGGCGAGGUAUUAAUCGUUGGUUAAUUAAGGUAAAAUUCUUAAAUGGUGUAGAAAAACCUAAAACGCUGUCAUCGACGCCGUCGCUCGAUGCCGAAUUUAUUUUCCCGACUUCGUCCUUCGCACAAAAAGUUGGCCUUCUCGCUUCACCACCAUUUUGGCCUCAGAAAAGGAGAUAUUGCCUUCGUGCUUUCUCCUAAUUCUAUUCACUUUUCGGUCCUUUCUUUCUAUAUCUUCUCUCUCGGUGUCGUUACCUCUCCUAAAAAAUCAAUUAUCUUUAAACUUGAGAUUCUCCACCAAAUUCAGCUGUCGAAACCUGUACUUGUGUUCGUCACGUCGAAUGCUGCUCAUACAAUUCCUAAUCUCAAAACAAUCGUACUCGACUCUCUCG
rnacentral:lncRNA from 1 species